rnacentral:sRNA from 1 species
UCAUGCAGAGUAUCUUUGCCGUUGAGGG